rnacentral:rRNA from 1 species
AGAGUUUGAUCAUGGCUCAGAUUGAACGCUGGCGGCGUGCUUAACACAUGCAAGUCGAGCGGUAACAGGUGUAGCAAUACAUGCUGACGAGCGGCGAACGGGUGAGUAAUGCUUCGGAAUCUGCCUCGUAGUGGGGAAUAACUAACCGAAAGGUUAGCUAAUGCCGCAUACGACCUUUGGGUGAAAGCGGGGGAUCGCAAGACCUCGCGCUAUGAGAUGAGCCGAAGUCGGAUUAGCUAGUUGGUGAGGUAACGGCUCACCAAGGCGACAAUCCGUAGCUGGUCUGAGAGGACGACCAGCCACACUGGGACUGAGACACGGCCCAGACUCCUACGGGAGGCAGCAGUGGGGAAUAUUGGACAAUGGGGGCAACCCUGAUCCAGCGACGCCGCGUGUGUGAAGAAGGCCUGCGGGUUGUAAAGCACUUUUAGUGGGGACAAAAAGCCAUCGGCUAAUACCGGGUGGUCUUGAUUUAACCCAAAGAAAAAGCACCGGCUAACUCUGUGCCAGCAGCCGCGGUAAUACAGAGGGUGCGAGCGUUAAUCGGAAUUACUGGGCGUAAAGCGUGCGUAGACGGUUUCGUAAGUCGGGUGUGAAAUCCCCGGGCUCAACCUGGGAAUUGCAUUCGAAACUGCGAGGCUAGGGUACGGAAGAGGGAAGCGGAAUUUCUGGUGUAGCGGUGAAAUGCGUAGAUAUCAGAAGGAACAUCAGUGGCGAAAGCGGCUUCCUGGUCCAGUACCGACGUUCAGGCACGAAAGCGUGGGGAGCAAACAGGAUUAGAUACCCUAGUAGUCC